GUGCUUGUAGGAGUUUUAUAUGGUUCUGUCACAAUUAUGAUUGAUAUUAGUGUACUGUUCAACCUUCUUUUGUAUCUCACAUAUGUUAACCGAGCGCUGCCUCAUAUAAUGUAAACUGAAUGGCAUAAAGUGACACAAGGUGUUGACGACAAAGCUCGGUCCUAAGGUCCAUA
rnacentral:lncRNA from 1 species